rnacentral:rRNA from 1 species
GACGAACGCUGGCGGCGUGCUUAACACAUGCAAGUCGAACGAUGAAGCAGAGAAACGCGCCCUUCGGUUCAAAUUUCACUUCGGAUUAGUGGCAGACGGGUGAGUAACGCGUGAGCAACCUACCUCUUACAAAGGGAUAGCCUCGGGAAACCGUGAUUAAUACCAUAUGACACAUUCAUAAGGCAUCUUAAGAAUGUUAAAGCUACGGCGGUAAGAGAUGGGCUCGCGUCCCAUUAGCUAGUUGGUGAGGUAACGGCCCACCAAGGCGACGAUGGGUAACCGGCCUGAGAGGGUGAACGGUCACAUUGGAACUGAGACACGGUCCAAACUCCUACGGGAGGCAGCAGUGGGGAAUAUUGCACAAUGGAGGGAACUCUGAUGCAGCGACGCCGCGUGAGCGAUGAAGGAAUUCGUUUCGUAAAGCUCUGUUCUAUGGGAAGAAGAGGACUGUACCAUAGGAGAAAGCCCCGGCUAAAUACGUG